GUGUCAGCCGCCGCGGUAAUACGGAGGGUGCGAGCGUUGUCCGGAAUCACUGGGCGUAAAGGGCGCGUAGGCGGCGCGACAAGGCGGCGGUGAAAGUCCGGGGCUCAACCCCGGAUCGGCCGUGGCGACUGUCGCGCUGGAGCACAGUAGAGGCGGGUGGAAUUCCGGGUGUAGCGGUGGAAUGCGUAGAGAUCCGGAAGAACACCGGUGGCGAAGGCGGCCCGCUGGGCUGUGGCUGACGCUGAGGCGCGACAGCGUGGGGAGCAAACAGGAUUAGAAACCCUCGUAGUCC
rnacentral:rRNA from 1 species